CGCGACCCCAGGUCAGGCGGGAUUACCCGCUGA
rnacentral:rRNA from 43 species